UCAUACAGCUUGUGCUUAAGACAUUCUAUAGCGGCUUCCAGCUCUCUUAUCUCUUCUUGCUGUCUUGCUUCCAGUAAUUCAUGCAACCUUCUUUCCAAUUCAUCAGGAGGAACUCCACAAUCUGUGUCUACAUCGUGAGGUUGAAGGUCAAUCACUUCUCCAGAAGUCGUGGUCUGACUUUUCAAGCAGGUAGUGUCUUCAUCAGUCACCUACAAUUUCCAAAAGCUCUGAUAUUUAGAAGACACAACAAGGAAUAUGGAACAGGAAGAUCAACCUUGCAAACAGCAGAAAGGAAUUAAACCCUAAUUGCUAGCAAAAUCUCAAUUCUAUGAAUCAAAGUGAGGGUGUGGGAAGAUCCAAUCCAAGACAAACAAAUGACAUUGUUCACGGUUUUCUUUCUACAAGCAACAAAAGCAUGAAGAUAAAAUACAUCGAUAUUAUAAUUUAAGAUAUUUUCCAGCAUGCGUAUCUGUUAUGAACUCAUUCCAUAUAUUUCUAUGCGAAGAUUUCUACCAUCAGAGAAUGUAAUGGAAUCCAUUUGCUGCAAAUCCAUCAAUACUAAGUUCAUAGAAACAGUUCCAGGAUACCACGCCACAAAGCAUACAAUUCAGCUUACCUCUACCCUUAAUAGCUCUGAGUGUUUCAACUUCUCCCCAUCCAAGUGCAGUUGUAAGUGUUCCAACUCAGCUUGGAGUUCUGCCUCGAGCUGAUCCAUUGCUUCUUCUGAACACUCUUCUUUUUCAGGUGGUUCGCACUUCAAAGACUGAUCAACCGCUGAAACUGUUGAGGACUCCGGUAUGUAUUGAGAUUCAAACUGUGGCCCAUGUGGAGAAUCAGUGUCACAGUACGCAAACAUAUCAUUUGGUUUCGACAGCUUAGAGAUAUUGCUUUUAUUAAUCAAUUCUUCGCUGGUAUUUUGGAGGAGGGUUUCCAUUUCCAAUUCAUCAGGAGGAACUCCACAAUCUGUGUCUACAUCGUGAGGUUGAAGGUCAAUCACCUCUCCAGAAGUCGUGGUCUGACUUUUCGAGCAGGUAGUGUCUUCAUCAGUCACCUACAAUUUCCAAAAUCUCUGAUAUUUAGAAGACACAACAAGGAAUAUGGAACAGGAAGAUCAACCUUGCAAACAGCAGAAAGGAAUUAAACCCUAAUUGCUAGCAAAAUCUCAAUUCUAUGAAUCAAAGUGAGGGUGUGGGAAGAUCCAAUCCAAGACAAACAAAUGACAUUAUUCACGGUUUUCUUUCUACAAGCAACAAAAGCAUGAAGAGAAA
rnacentral:lncRNA from 1 species